UACGGAGGGAGCUAGCGUUGUUCGGAAUUACUGGGCGUAAAGCGCACGUAGGCGGACUGUUAAGUCGGGGGUGAAAUCCUGGGGCUCAACCUCAGAAUUGCCUCCGAUACUGGCAGUCUCGAGUGCGGGAGAGGUGAGUGGAAUUCCCAGUGUAGAGGUGAAAUUCGUAGAUAUUGGGAAGAACACCAGUGGCGAAGGCGGCUCACUGGCCCGUAACUGACGCUGAGGUGCGAAAGCGUGGGGAGCAAACAGG
rnacentral:rRNA from 1 species